AAUUUGUUCUUUCACUUAUGCUUAACAUAGAUACAUUAACUUGUUAAUAUGAUAAAUUAGGGAUCAUUUGUAUUGAGUGUAUGUACAUCGUCAAUUGUUCUUAAAAAGAAUAACAUGUUUUGGAUUUAAAAAUGUCCAUUUUGUAUUACUACUACCUUUUAAUAUCUUAUUUAUCAUGUAAAACUGAAAUAAUUAUAAAUGUAAAGCAAUAUAACCAGAGUCCUUAUUUUAUAUAGUUGUUAGUUUUCAUUGACAAGCAGAUAUAUAUAAAGGGCUGUAUAGCCAGUCAAGGUCAUUAAAAACAUCCACAACCCACCCCCAAUACGAACAUGUUGUGAUCCAUGUCCAAUGAUUAAAUGUUUCCCCUCCACCAAACUUUCAUUUGGAAUAGCCCAAAUCAAGUUUACAGUUGUACAUAUUUGUAGGUGAUUGGUUUUGACCCCUGAAGUGACCUUUCACUCUAAUGUGAUGUACUAGUAGAAUUUUGCCAUUCCAUAUUAUGUGAUAUUAAUAAAAUGCAGCUGAUAUUUAAUGUUAUAUGAAUUUAUUAAAGGUCAUUUAAAAUUAAUUCCUUAGUUUUUUUUGUUUUUUUUACUUUGUAAGACCGGCAUUUAAAAUUGUAAGAAUGUAAGAUAAGAUCAGGAUUACUUCUUAAUAUGAGAAUAUUGUGGGUUGUAAGAACAGGAAUCAGAAUUUUGGAAUUAAUUUUAUUAUGGCUGUAUUUAUACUGUACAAGUGUGUUCAAUCCUAUAGCAAUGAAAAGAAACAAUAGUGGUAUGAGGUUGAUUAUUAUUUAUAAAUUUUAUAUAUAAUUUUUUUGACUGUUUCAAUUCAGUGCAAUGCACUGGUUGAUAAAAUAUAAUUGACUCAUUUUCGUCAUAUCUUUUGAACAUUUGUGAUGUCUAGUUACGCAUGUACGUACUAAGCUAUUUUGUUAUUUAUGCUAAUGAUUUUUGUUUUGCUGCUUUUGUUUUGUAUAGUCUUUCAUGAUUUUUGGUUAUUUUUUGCAGGGCUAAGGGAUCUAUCAAAAGUUGGAUCAGAUAUGAAAAUUCUAUCAAGAGGUACAUUCUUUACUAUUAAAAUCGUAACAUUUGCUUGGAAAAAAUAGUUAGCAAGACUUCAAAAGAAUUCAAAUAUUAAAAUUUAGGAAAAUAUGAAUUAAAACUUUUUGAUGGAUAUAAACACCAAAAGAAUACUGUUUUUGUACAUUGUGUAUAAAAAAAAAUGCAUUUGUGCUGAAUUGCAUAAUCUUCUUGUGUGUAAUAAUGUAGAAAUUGAAAGAUUAAGGUCACAAUAUAUACCAAACUAUUUUUGUGUACAUUCAAACCAAAUCAAAAUGAAAGGAUUACUGUCUUUCUGUAGUUAACCAGUAUUGAAAAAAAUAUUGUGCUUUAUUUUAUACCUUAAUAAAUUCUUAUGUGUAUGUAUGUACUUCUACUAUUUAUAACCUUUAAUGUAUGUUCUUCACUGUUUAUUGAUAUAUCUUGCAUUUUUUUUUCAUUUUGUGGCCCACAUGGUCUGACUAAAUGUACAAUUAAAUGUUUGAAUCUUUGGAUUUAUAUUUUAUCUAUGGGUAUAAAUGAUUAUGCAAACACUAUUUGAAAAUUCCUCUCUUUUACUUAUAAAACUUUGUAUUCUGCCAUAACACUUUUCAUGUUUAAGGUUUAAAAUUUGCUGAUUAUGCAAAACUGACCUACAUGUACCUUCUAAAAAUCCAGAUUUUUUUUUACAUUUAAACUUUGACUAAAGUGGUAUUUGCUUUGUAACUGUGAGUGUUUAUGUAUGCAUAUGUAUGAUUGAGAAAAUCCAAUGACUUAUAUUGAUAUUAGAUGCUAGUUUUAUAUUUUGUUAUUGUAAUAUGACCGAGCACUGUAUGUAGAGGUUGGUUUAACAUUUUCACAUUUUUUGUAUGAAUUAUGGUAUAAUUAGUAUUAUUCAUGUCAUUCAGAUUCACAUUUUGCAAUGAAAAAAACUGCUGAGAAUGAAUUUGAUUUAUUGAAUUUUAUCGGUUUGAAUGAUUCAUUUAAACAUUUGAGUAUUUUGUAGUUCAAAUGCAUGUCUCAGUCUGGCGUACACAAUUAUACUCCUGGUAUCAGUAAUGGUUACUUUUCAUAAAAUAUCAUACAAUGAUUGAUUUUUUUUUUACAGAAAACCUAGAUUGAGGGAGAUAACUCUGUAAAUUUGAAAUAUGUUUUUAAUAGCCUAUUCCAUCUGCAUUUUAUGCAUGUCUUUUCUUGCAGUGAAUAUAAUAGAUCUUAAAUAAGAUUAUUAUAUAUAUUCUUAUAAUCAUAUGAUUGAAUUAAUUUCAUCAAUUUGAUGCUGAUAUUUGUGUAAGAGUUCAUCUUCUCACCUUAAUAAUAAAUAUUUUGAGAAAAUGAAGUUUUGUAGACCAUGAUUGUUGCAACAUUUGAUGAGAAAUAAUACAUAUAAUAAACAGAUGUUUUUUCUAAGUAGAAA
rnacentral:lncRNA from 1 species